rnacentral:lncRNA from 1 species
CUACAGAGACCUUCUUCACAUAACCAUUAUGUCCAAAAGGUUCCUGGUCAUUGGAUUGUCGGAGGGAAACUGACAAUGCUUAGACCGGUACAUACUGUGUCCGCUUCAAAUGGAAGAAUGGAAAGUCUCAUCCCAUUUGUGUAGUGACACUAAGACAAGUAUGUAGGUGCUCAUUAAGGGAAUGAGUUCACAGAACACAAUCAAACGAGAGUACUUGCAUGGAGGUCUAC